AGAGUUUGAUCCUGGCUCAGAUUGAACGCUGGCGGGAUGCUUAACACAUGCUAGUCGCACGGUAACAGGUCCUUCGGGAUGCUGACGAGUGGCGGACGGGUGAGUAACGCGUGGGAAUCUGCCCACUACUGGGGGACAACCCGGGGAAACCCGGGCUAAUACCGCAUACACCCUACGGGGGAAAGCGGGGGACCUUCGGGCCUCGGGCUUUUGGAUGAGCACCACAUCCAAUUACCUAGUCGGUCUGGUAACCGCCUACCUAGGAUACAAUCGUGCGCUGGCCUGAUUACGACCAUCUGCCGCACUGGAACUGACACGCGCUCCAUACUCCUACACGAGGCUCCCAUAGGGAAUUUUGGACUACGCCCGCCAGCCUGAUCCAACAGUAUCUCCUGCGUGAAGGACGUCUGCAGGUUGUCAAAGACCUUUUGAUAAGGAAGAACCGCGGAGCGUUAACAUCGCUCU
rnacentral:rRNA from 1 species